rnacentral:SRP_RNA from 1 species
GGCUAUCUCCCACACGGUGGGGCCUCACGAACCGGGUCAGGCGGGAAACCGAGCAGCCCUAAGUGCAGCGUUCUCAGGUGUGUGUGGAGAUAGCCUUC